CAGUCGAGCGAGAAAGUCCCGCUUGCGGGAUGAGUAAAGCGGCGAACGGGUGAGUAACGCGUGAAUAAUCUACCUCUGGGAUGGGGAUAACCUUGGGAAACCAUGGCUAAUACCGGAUGAGGUCGCAUGCUUUUGGUAUGUGGUGAAAGGGAUGGGAUCUUCGGACCAUUCGCCUGGAGAUGAGUUCGCGUCUGAUUAGCUUGUUGGUAGGGUAAUGGCCUACCAAGGCUUCGAUCAGUAGCCGGCCUGAGAGGGUGUUCGGCCACAUUGGAACUGAGAUACGGUCCAGACUCCUACGGGAGGCAGCAGUUAAGAAUUUUGCGCAAUGGGCGAAAGCCUGACGCAGCGACGCCGCGUGAGCGAUGAAGGCCCAUAGGGUUGUAAAGCUCAUUAGGUAGGGACGAAUAAGGUACAUCGAAUAGGUGUACUGAUGACGGUACCUAUUGAAAGCCCCGGCUAAUUACGUGCCAGCAGCCGCGGUAAUACGUAUGGGGCGAGCGUUGUUCGGAAUUAUUGGGCGUAAAGGGAGCGUAGGCGGGGGAUUAAGUCAGAUGUGAAAGGCCACAGCUCAACUGUGGGAUUGCAUUUGAAACUGAUUUCCUAGAGUCUGGGAGAGGAAGACGGGAUUCCUGGUGUAGCGGUGAAAUGCGUAGAUAUCAGGAAGAACACCGGUGGCGAAGGCGGUCUUCUGGUCUAU
rnacentral:rRNA from 1 species